ACUCAGUUACACUGGUUGUAAGGCAGAACUCAGGAUCCGCAUCGCGAAAAACAUAUUCUUGGUCGUACUGAUGGUGAGUUGACGCUGAUCUUAUAUUCAGUAGUUCUUGUCGGCUGUAUGUAAAGAAACCUAAGAUGACCUGGGGUACUAGUGUAAGAAAUAACACGUAAAAAAACAAAAAACUGCAUAGUUUCCUAGGAACGCGAAGCGAGGCGGCCAUCUCUGUCGGCGCCGGAAGUGUCAUGGUGGGAUAUGUGGGAGACUGGUGUGAGACAGGGCGAGACUUGGGAGAGAGACUGGGGAGACUUGGGUGAGAAUGAGGGAUAGAUAGCCAGGUGAGAAGUAGCCCGAGUGCCAGUCUGUUUGUGGUAUCAUGCCCAACUCAUUGUCAUUUUGGCUUGACAAGGACAGAAAUGGAGUUCGCAAGAGCACAAAGAGAUCUGGGACCAGACUAGAUGGGAAUACUAAUCCGAUACUAAUAGAGGUAUUUGUGAGAUAUGAACAGUGGCUUAGUGGAGGGUAUCCCCAGGUAUACGCCGUAUACCCGAAAAAAUGUCAGUGGAAGUACACUCACUUCUUAAUCCCCUAUGGGCACUGCAUACCCUCAAUUCUUGUUUACCCCUUUUUUCUCCACAAUUUCAUGGUAUCCAAUUGGUAGUAGUUACAGUCCUGUCUCAUUGCUGCAACUCCUGUACGGACAUGGGAGAGGCAAAGGUCAAGAGCCAUGCAUCCUCCGAAAUACAAUCCUAAUCCGGACGGCGCUGGGCCAAUUGUGCAUCGCCCCAUGGACCUCCCGGUCGCGGCCGGCUGUGACAGAGCCUGGGCUCAAACCCAGAAUGUCUGGUGGCACAGCUAGCACUGCGAUGCAGUGCCUUAGACCACUGCGCCACCCCUCACUUUUUAAUGAGUGUACUUCUAGUGUAAUGGCGGUAUACAUCGGAUCAAUUAUGUAGUACAAUAAAGAAAUCAUGCACAAAGUAUCCUACACAAACGCAAGGCACGUGAAAUACAUUACAUGACCAAAAGUAUGUGGACACCUGCUCGUUGAACAUCUCAUUCCAAAAUCAUGAGCAUUAAUAUGGAGUUGAUCCCCCUUUGCUGCCAUAGCAGCCUCCACUCUUCUGGGAAGCCUUUCCACUAGAUGUUGGAACAUUGCUGCUGGACCUCCUUCCAUUAAGCCACAAUAGCAUUAGUGAGGUUGGGCACUGAUGUUGGAUGAUUAGGCCUGGCUCACAGCCAUUCCAAUUCAUCCCAAAAGUGUUUGAUGGGGAUGAGGUCAGGGCUCUGUGCAGGCCAGUCAAGUUCUUCCACACUGAUCUCGACAAACCAUUUGCGUAUGGACCUCGCUUUGUGUGUGGGGGCAUAGUCAUGUUGAAACAGAAAAGGACCUUCCCCAAACUGUUGCCACAAAGUUGGAAGCACAGAGAUGUCUAGAAUGUCAUUGUCUGUUGUAGUGUUAAAACUUCC
ensembl:lncRNA